CAGCAGCCGCGAGAGUGCUGCGCACCUUCUUCUGCGGUCACAUAACAGCUUCUUCUGUACAAUCUUUUCUUUUGAAUGCAACAUCAAAUGUAUUUUAUAAGAUCCAAAACUUCGUCACUGAGGAAACUCAAACCUCCCUAGAAGGAAACCAGACGUCCCUCUGCAAGUUACCCCCAGCCGAGCAUAGGUGGCCACGGCUGGGCAGAGCGGGCAGGGCCUGCGGGCGCAGGAUCGGGUGGUGUCAUCUUCGGCCUCGACUCCCAACCACAUCAGUUGACUGGGAAGGAUCUUCGGCUUUCGGCCUCGUCCUUAUCUUCCCCGGAGCCCAGACAGGAUGUUUGAUCGAGAGAAAAGUCCUUUCAGAGAGGACGGGCACGUUCCCUAAAUAAACCAAAGGCCAUUUGAGGCCUUGCAAUUGUCUCGCUUCGUGGGACAGUAAAUGUGUGAAGAAUUUUCUCUUUUCCCUACAAAUUAAAAACACAGAGUAACCCGACUGUAGAGCCACUGGCCCAGGGACGCGCCCCGCUCACGGCUGACUGUCCCCCUGUGUGCCUGCCUUCUCCCUCCUGCACGUCGGGGUUUGACACACGUGCCGCACGUGUCCUUGUACUUCUGAGCACUCCCCGCAUCCAGGAGGCAGCCCGGCACCACACGGGCUGGUGCCUUCUGGAGGUCCGCGGCCCGUGGAUGGCCUGGGCCAGUGGUGGGAGUGAAUGUGCCGCUCCUCGUCGGGUCCCAGAGUGACACAGACGCUGUGGCCCAUUCUGCAGCCUCAGGCAGGUGGUUGAACGAGCCUUAAGGUCCUUGCUAGCCCUAAGUUUUCUAGAUUCCAUAAAUUAAGGUGGACUGGAAGGCGCCUGAAGGGAGGCAGGCCUCGUCAGAGGCUCUUCGGCCGUGGACACGCACCUCGGACCACAGGGAGGCCAAGUGACCAACAGCCCCGCUGGGCAGGACCCGGUCAGUGACCAGCACAGCAGCUGGAGACUCAGGAGACAAGGGACUCUGCGUGAAAAGAUUUUAAAGACAUUUCAAAAGCCCCAGGAUUGUUCAAGUUUUCAUCGUCCUCGCCCCUCCUUAGUGUGAGGAGGGUCGUCGUAACUGUCACCGGACAAAAAGAAAGGCCUUGGAAUUACCCACGGAGGGCCUGGCAGUGUCCUCGUGGACACAGUCGGCGGCGGCGUGCAAGGCGGGAGCAGGAUGUGCAGAACGUCCUGUCUUCUCUCCCCACCCCCAUAGCUUCUCCUGCCGCCUCCUUUUCUCGAUUCCUUCCCAAGUCCGUUCCUGCAGACAAGGAAGAGCGUUCCAGGCUAUUUCGGGAGCCAGGUCGUAUCCACAACAGGACCACUCUAGGGACACUGAGUCACGGAAGAGAAGGACAAGUGGGUGAAAGUGCCUAUUUAAGACCAGGGUGGAAAGCCCGCAAGCCUCUGAACCAGCGUGGGAGCUCCGCUAGCCCCAAAUGCAAAUGUGGAGGACUCAGAGCAUAUGAACAGCAGCCCUUGAGGACUCCAACGUUAGCUAUAAACCGGAUUGCUGAUGGGUGUGAUAGUCUUUCUUUAUUCCCUGAAUCUUUCAUGUUUUGAAAUGUUUAUGUACAUAUCGAUACCCACUUAUACAUAUAUAUGCAAAUCAAUAUGUCUUUAAUAAACAUGUUCAGCUUAUAACUUGGAGUGGCAGGUUUGGCACUCCUGCUUUUAUAACGUCAACAGCCAUUUUUCAUGUGAUUGCCUCAGGUCAAAAGUUUUGGGGGUGCCUUUUGGAUGCAAAGUAAGGUAAACCUGAGUGCCCAGGAUUCUUUGUGGACCAUUCAUUCCAGAAAGGGGAGCAUUUUUUUUUUUUUUUUGCCUUGCAAUGGGCUCUUCUGAGCUCAUUCUGCAAUAUAAGCUUCAGUAUGAGCUCACCACAGAGCCCAGAAAUUUGCAAGUGCUUGAUCUUAACUUGUAGGAAAAGAUGAUCACCUUCGAGGUGUGUCGUCCCUGUGAAUUUCACAUAAUCCUGCAAAUAGUUUUCCAAAAAUAAUCAGACUUCGAUAGGCACUUAGCACCUAUAAAACAGGGCUGGGAAACUAUGGCCCAUGAGCCAGAACUAGUCCAACAUCUAUUUUUGCCCAAAAAGUCUUAUAGGAACACAGCCAGAUCUAUUUGUUUAUAUAUCAUUUACGGCUGCUUUUAUGCUACACUGGCAGAGUUGAAUAGUUGUGACAGAGACCAUAUGGCUGGCAAAGCCCAAAGUAUUAACUAUCUGGCCCUAAAAAUGAAAACAAAUAUGAACAACCCGAUAGAAAACAAACAGGCAAAGGAAAUGAAUAGGCAAUGCAAAUGCACAGGAGAGUGCCCUGGAAUGUCCAAUAACUAGAUGAAAAGAUGGAGCUGUAAUCAGAGAAAUUAAACUUUAAACUACACCGAGAUUGCAUUUCAUAUGCAUCAGCUUUGUGAACAUUUAGGUCGUGCAACAUCAGCUGUUGGUAGGGCAUAGAGAAAUGGGAAUUUUUAUUCUCCGCCGUGGGAAGCACAAGUAAGUGCAAUCACUUUUGAAAGCAAUUUCACAAUAUCCAAUAAUGGUGAGUGCACAUAAUUCACUCCUAGACACACACGCACGCACACAUACACGUGUGGCAAGGAAAGGCACGUUAGAGAAGCUGUCACAUGCGUGAACAAGGGGACUUGUACACGAAUAUUCACGGUAGCAUUGUUAGAAAAGGUAGAAAUGAGUUUAGUAUCAAUAACAGAAUGGAUAAAUACGGGGUGCAUCCUUAAAAUAGAUGCCAUGUAAUAAUGAUGAGUUAACGACGAUGAGAUAUUUCAUGAACACGUAUUUCAUAAAGCUACCAGGUUGAGCUGACUUGGGAAGUCAACAAAGAUUGGAGAGAGGUACAAAGGGAGCUUCGCGUACGUUUGUGGCAUUUUUGUUUCUUAGGCUGAUGGCUGUGAACUCAGAUUUUUGUUUUUCCUAUAAGUUGGAAAUAACUCAUAAAAAUGAAAUUCUGUAUGUUUGAGGCCUUUAAUCAUUACGGCAUAGAGGAGAGCCCCCAAGACCUCCCGGUUUUUAUUUCCACAGCAGCCCGUGGCCCAGCAGCCAGAGCCUCUUGCAGACACUUACGCAGCCUGGUGAGGAGGUGAGCGGGACCGAAGUCUGGCUUGUCCACUAGUCUGUCACCUUGUUGUGCCCGUUGCCCAAGAGCCCCUAGGUGAGCAUCACUCAAAAAGGGGGGCUUUCCCCUGCCCACGCGUGCCCUGUGGAGUGUGCAGAAGCUCUGCAGCCAGGCCACACGUGCUCUCGCUUAGCCUGUGGGGCUACGCACGCCCUCACCCACCGCCGGGAGGAUGGGGGAAGCGGAGCCUGUCUGGAAACAGAGUCUCUGCUGCCUGUUUGCUUGCUAACACACGUUGGCUCAUCCUCGUAUCUUUCUAGGUCCUUACGGUUCCAGAGCUGAUCAUUUUUCUCUAGUUAUCUGGGAUAGGCUCUAAAAAAUUAAUUUGUUUUGCUCCCUUAGGGCAUCUUAUCCAAAAAGUGAAGAUUAAUUGGCCAAUUUAUCUUCAGUGUAAAGCACAUAUAGGAACUGUAAGAGAUAGUAACGUGCUAACGGCAAGGCCAUUGCUGUGGAUAUUUUGUCUUCUUGGACAAGCUGCAAAUUGGAACCCUCCUUUCUUACCUUCUCCACCUGAUAGACAAUAGGAACUCAUCCUUCAGUACGAUCUACAUCUCUCUUUUCUCCAAAAUCUGAAUCUCUCCUUUCACCUAAGUUGCCAGCCCUGAUAUCUUAUUCCUUGGAAGCAAAGGACAAAUGCGGUUUAUGGACUACCCAUAUCACUUUCACACGAUGUGCAUCGAAAUGCUGAUUUCUGGGCUCCCCCCAAGCCUAUUACAUCACUUUGCAUUUUUAACCAAGCUUUGCAUGUGACUCUUAUGCUUCUGGAAGUCUAAAAACCACUACUUUAGAAGAGAGAAAAGUUAUUUGGGGCAAAAAAAAAAAUCACCCUAAUACAUAAUUCUCGUUUUAAAGCAGCAUAGGAAAGUGGUAUCUCUGCAGGAGAAAUUCUGUCCUCUUUCAUUGUUGUUAUAAAGGAGCGGUCUUAAAAGAAUCAAAGAAACCAAAUUCACAAUGCUUUCUCACUUCACUUUCUCAUGGCAGUUGCUAGAAAAUGACAGAAACGAUUUAGGUGAUGGGCGCCAAUUUAGGGAAGGCUCCGAGGGCACAAGACAAGGAGCCGGGAGACGGGGAGUGGUCCUGUGAUGAUCUUGGGCAGAGCACAGUACUUGAGGGCUUCAGAUUUCUCAUCUACGAAACCAGGGGCUUGCCCAUAUAUCUUUAAGUUCUCUUUCAGACACACAAUGAGAGGAAACAUGUCAUUCUUAAAAACUCUAAGUCCAAGCACGUUUGCAUUUGUCCACUCUCUAGCGUAUAAAUCACUUUAUUGUAUGUUAGUCAUGGACCCAACGGGGCAUUGUUUUUUGAAGAUAAACUCUCAGAUGCAAAGAUGAUGGCCGGGUUCCGUUUUAAACUUCUCAGGUCUGUUUCAAUUUGUUUCCUUUUUUUUUUUUUUUUUUAAAUUUUACCUAGGUGACGCGAGUGGUAAACUUCACGGUAGCGGCAUCUUCAACCCCACCUGCCUUAAAGCAUUCAGGAAAACCAUCUUCGACGUAGAUAAUAAAACAACCCAAAAGGCGCAGUGGAAAGGAGGAGAGGAGGCGCCCAUAAGACAGAAUCGGGUGCAAAUGAUGACUUCCACGGGGGUGCGGAGCCGCGGAAGUCCCCAAGAGGAAGGGAUGCUGACCUUGACCCGCCCCCGGAGUUGCUGCUGGCUUCUCGGUGUUUUUUUUUUUUUUUUUUUUUUUUUUUUUUUUCUCAUUUGCGAAAAGCGUGCGGUGUUUGGAAACAUCAGCCCGGGCCUCUUCGGAGGUCCCUGCGUCUGAGGGUGUUAAAGUCCCUGGGAAGGAUUCUGGGCGGAGAGCACCCGAACUUCGCGUCCUGGGUGGUUCACUGCUCCUGAGACUUGGCUCCCCGGUGCCUCUCAGCGGCGGUUCGCAGACCUCAGGUGAAGUGAGGGGCCUGGAUGGGCGGGGGUGCGCUGCUUUGCUGGGGUGCGGAGCGGGGCCUCAGCCCGCCUGCAUGGCCCAAGAGGGAGGCUUGUCCCUCCUCUUCGGAACCUUCUUCCCCUUUUGCACAGCUCGCAGGGUCCGCGCCCUCUGGGCCGCGCAGGUCGCGGGUGCAGGGGCUGCUGCUGUGCCCCGGGCCGGGCCGGGUCGGGCUCCCCGCCCCCUGCACCGCCCGGGCGGGCCUCGCCGAGGAGCGUCCCGGGGACCCGCUGUCACUCACGCGCGGGGACACGCCCCCGCGGCCCUGCCCCGGCCCUGCCCGCCCCUGAGCGCGGCGCCCGCCGGCCAAUGGCGCUCCGGGCCCGGGCGCUCGGCACCGACCUGGCUGAUUUGCAUAACCCGCGGCCCGGGGCUCGCGGCGCGCAGCCUGCACCGAGCGGGA